ensembl:lncRNA
CAUGGCCAAGGAGACUGCCAUGAAUCCACAUGCAUCUGCCUUCAAUCCUUCGUCUUUUGGAGCAUCGUCUUUUCACACUUUCUACAUCAUUAAACCUGUGGACAAAGAGUAAUGGUCUUCAGAGUCUUGAUGGAAGAAAAGUGUUGAACCUUGCUGCCGGUUCCUCUUCUGUGCAGUGUGAAGAGGGAAAGACAGUACAAAUAUACAUUCCAACUAACCAUGUUUUACAUAUCUGGCCAAAAACCAGACACACGUGUAGUAUGCCAAAAGUGAAAGACAACAGAAGUCGUUGGUGUUCAAACAUCCACGAUGUCCUAUAACUAAACAACAGCUGGUUAUAAGCUAACAUUAUGCCAGCUAAUGUUAGACUCAAGUGUCCUAAAGAUCACAGAUUCCCUGUGAUAAAGAGUUUGGUUAUGUUCUGACAUGAUAUGAGAGUUUAUUCACUAAGUAUUAAAAGACAACAAUGUUAGAUAAACUUCAAAGUCAUUAAUUGAUGCAGGCUAGCAGCAGCUAACAGAGGCUAGCAGCAGCUAACAGAGACUAGCAGCAGCUUACCAAGAGAAAAGUUUAGGCUAUGCUCGAUAACUCACCGCAGUAUCAAUGUCACUGGACAGAAGUGAGCUUCAGUGACUCUUCGGCUCAUAUUAGACUCCUUUCCCAGUUUUACAGCCGUCCCCAGAGUAAAUAAAGGAGGACAUGUGUCACCCGGCAUUGUCAGCUGAGGUAAACAGUAGCCUGACAGCCUUGCAGAGCUAUGGAAAAACUUUGGAUCCAGUCCAGAGUCACUUUGCUAUUUAAGUGCACUUACUACAGAUGAAGGCUUGUCAGGCACACUGGGGUGAAAAAUGUAAAAUACUGCAAAAUGUGUAACUGACCAUUAAUGGAGCGGAUCCAUGUCUUAUUUCCUGAUUUAGUUGUGCUGAUAUUAUUCAAACAGUAGGAGAAACCAGCAAGUACAGUCUGUAUUUACUACCCUUGAUCUUUCUUGACUGACUAAAACUUGUUUGUCCUAUAGCAGUCACCGUAGUGAGGAUUAUUCACUUGAAUUGGGAGGUCUUUCUGUCUGUCUUCAUGCUGUUUUAUUACUGCCUUUAUGCACCAAAGUCUCUUUGAAGAUGGCAACUGACCAUGACACAGGAAUUAUACUUCUAUAUCAGAGAUAUGUUGCAUUCAAUUCAAUUUUAUUUAUUAAGCACCAAAUGAAAACAACAGCUACAUCUAGCUGCUUUUGCCAUGUUGUAACUCAGAGAUUCCCAAAGUGUGGGGCCCGCCCCCCCAGCCAUUGCGGGGGGGGGGGGGGGGGGGGUAUGAAAAGGGGAAGAAAAAACAAACAAACAAACGCUUGGACACUGCUAGCACGGGGCGCCCACACAAACGCAAAGCAGGAGAUGAAGCUGAAUAUGUUUCCAAACCAACUUCAUUCUAAGCUAAAGACUAGAAAAUAUAAUGAAGCAAAUCUUCCCUUUGGCUUCACCUGCACAAGUGCCGAGGUCGGUCUCCCUGCAGGAUUGCUUUUCCUUUCGUCAGGAGCAGCUCUGGGCUCUUCAAAUCCCAGACAAACUGUAUUCCACAUGCUUGAUUUUUAGUUCACAAACACUUGUCGUAAUGACUAACUACUCCUGACAUGUUGGAGAUGUUUGCUCUUUAUACAGUAAAGUUACAGCGGAAUACAAAUAACAUCAGGCUGAUCCUGCCACGAUUUGUUCCCCCGGUUCAAAUCAGACAAACAGUAUUCUACAGCUGUUUAUGUUUUUGAACCCAUUUUGCACAGAGAGGCAUUUUUUAAAAAUGUAUUGACAGCAAUGUUGAACAUUAUUACACAGGAAAAAACAACUACACGUAAAAUAAUCACACCGUGACGCCUCUGCCUUUCUAAAUGGAGGGACAGUAACUGCGUGUGUAUGUAAGCGUGUAAAACUGAAGAUAGAGACAAAAUACUGUUAAUUUUUCUGCUAUUCUGCAAUUCAUCUCAUGUAAACAAUAACGUGGCGCACAGCGUGACGUGAAAAAAGGCACAUACCUUCAACGUUGCGUGACGAACUCUGUAUUCCUCGUCCACACGUAAACGCAAAAGAGGAGUUUUAAAAACCAGCACUGCGCGAACAUUUUUCUUGUAAAACAAAGGGGGGGGGGGGGGCUAGCAAAAAAGGUUUGGGAACCACUGUUGUAACUUAUGCCACAACUGAAACCCCAUUUUAACCCUACACAUCAUCCUUCUACGUAACCUGACGUGCAGCUCCUGAUAAAUUUAAGUACACAUCGGGUCCACAAUGACAUGAAUGCUGCGGAAGGUUGCGGUGUACGGAUAAAAGGCAUUUCCAGUUACGACAGCAUCAGGCUUGGCCAACUCCAGGCCUCGAGGGCUGGUGUCCUGCAGGUUUUAGAUCACCCUGGGUCAGCACACCUGAAUCACAUGAUUAGUUCAUUACCAGGCCUCUGGAGAACUUCAAGAUCAUUUAGCCAUUUGAAUCAUCUGUGAUGGAUCAAGGACACAUCUAAACCCUGCAGGACACCGGCCCUCGAGGCCUGGGUUUGGACACCACUGGUCUAAAUCAAGUUUAAGUGAUCACAGACAAAGUCCCUGUUUUCAAAACAACUAUUGCAACUUUAAUGCACACAGUCGAGGGAUUUUGCUGCAGUCUCCAACUGCUGCUCUUUAUAAUGUGACUGUGGCAUAAGCCAACAAGGAGUCUUGCAAACACAGAAGCACAAAUGUACAUUUGCUUCAGGAGUGACAGUGAAUGCAUCACAGCACAGUCGAGAAACAAACCAUUAAUAAAAUAAAAACUCACUUUUUACUCUCUAACAUGCACACACACACACACACACACAGAGACUGCAAACGUCCUGAGGGGGCGAUAGAGGAGGCCGAUCUUUCAUUAGUGGGGCAACACGCCUGAUUAAACUCCUCGUGGCCACACACACACACACACACACUCACACACACAACACUGAGCUGGACUGAUCAAUGAUUAAUGAUUGGACCUGCAGGGAGAGAGAGCAGAAGGCUCCUGUGAUGUGUAGUGAAACAAAUAAGUGUGUGUGCAUCUAAAGAAAGACACAAUGAGGGAGGAAGGAAGGUUCAGUGGUGUGAAAUGAGACAAAUGAGUGUGUCGGGGGCUUUGUGUAUGUGUGUGUUCACUGUAGUGUGAGGCUGUUCUUCCAUAGGUGUUUGGCUAUUGAUCUGCGCUUGUUUUCUGUGUGUGUGUUGGUGGUUCCUGUGUAAUCACAGUAUCAAAGCAUUUUUGUCACUCCUGACACACACCGAGCCGGCGGCCGUCGUGUGUGGACGACCGUCACCUGUAGCGCUUCCUGUGUGGCUCUGUCAGCAUGUCAAAUUGCACCUCUUUGAUUGGCUCCCUUUUCUUUCUUUUUCAUCUUUUGUGCAGCCGAAACUUUGUAGUCAUGUUUGUUAUAUGAGACAGAUGACACACACAGAACAUGGUCGGCUGGUUCGGCUUGUUUCCUUCUUUCUUAGUUCUGUCUCCUCGUUCAGUCCGACAUCUUUAGAUGUUUCCAGCUCCGAACGCUUCUUCGGUUCAAAAUCAAAACUUCAAAUUGGUCAAAAUUCCUGAAAUAAAAGAUCACUGUUCUCUCCACAGCUGUUACAAUAAUGUGUAGACGACGGUUAGUGACAUACAGUUAUGGUCAGAAGUUUAAUGACUUUAAAAAAAACACGAAAUAGGUGCACAAGUUUAAAUUUUUCUACAGGGUCUACAGGAACAACACAGGUUCAAAGGUAACAUAGAGGCUCAAAUAUACCAACAUUUGGUUAAAUUACACCUCGAUCAGACAGUUUUGGUUUCCAUCAACAAGUUUCUGGCAUUUUCUUGGUGGAUAUUUGAUUUUUAGAAUUGAUUUUAAUUAGUUGGUUUAUUGUCACUGUUUAGGUACAGUCUUAAAGGGCUUAGUAUAAGUACUUAAGUAUAAGUAUAAAAAAAGAAAAAUGACUACUCCAUGUGAAUGCUCACUGUUUUUAACGUGCUUUAUAAAUAAAGUUGGCUUGGCUGUUCUCCAUCUAGCCAUUGAUUUGAGGUGAAGUUAAAGAAUUUGGAGGUGGUCCUUCUUCUUCUUCUGCCAGUGUCACCAGUACCAAAACAGCCCCCGAACACGAUGCUUCCACCACCAUGCUUGGUACAGUAGUUUUAUCUGACUGUACAAAACUUUACCAAAAGACAGUUUGGCAAGUUCUAGAAGAAGAGCCAAGUUACUUGGAUGACACACUAGAAUACAUACAUAUUGUUCUUACGUAAAAUUGUUUGUUUCACAAAUGUGAAUUGUUUGAUUUUGGGAUCUGCAGUUGUUUAGAAAUGGCUCCAAGAGAGCUUCCACACUUCGACAGUUCUGAUCUCCACUGAGUUACUUGGACUUUUAAACUGUUCUGAGUAUUCAUCAGUCCAACGAGUGCUGCCAUUUUUAUGCUGCAAAGAGAAACUACCAAUGUUAGUCAAUCACGGUCAAAGAUACUGUAGAACCUUCAGCAUGACGUGAAAAAAAAUUCAUUAAAGGCCCAGAAUGACUCUGACCUUCAUGCCGAUGGUUGGACAGAAAUGUCUGACCACAACUGAAAUCCUGCUUUGUAGGGUGUGACUCAGAAGUGAUGUGCCAAUCUAUGAGAACAGUGUUCACACUAAAUCAAACCAGUUACUGUGAUAGGCAGGAGGGGACCUUCAAGACCUUUAAUUCCAUUAAUGCUCAUUGAAACUGAGUCUUGGGAUUAAACAUGUCCAGUCAGCUUUCUCACUGAACACGUGUUAACAGACCUCUCUGCACUGAAUCAUAUCUGUUAUUAACCUCUGUCUCUCUUCCACAGCAUGUCUUUAUCCUGUCUUCCUUCUCUCACCCCAACCAAUCACAGCAGAUGGCCCCGCCCCUCCCUGAGCAUGGUUCUGCCGGAGGUUUCUUCCUGUUAAAAGGGAGUUUUUCCUUCCCACUGUCGCCAAAGUGCUGCUCAUAGGGGGUCAUAUGAUUGUUGGGUUUUCUCUGUGUGUAUUAUUGUAGCGUCUACCUUACAAUAUAAAGCACCUUGAGGUGGCUGUUGUUGUGAUUUGGUGCUAUAUAAAUAAAACUGAAUUGAAUUGAGAAUUAAA